rnacentral:rRNA from 1 species
GACGAACGCUGGCGGCGUGCUUAACACAUGCAAGUCGAACGGAAAGGCCCUGCUUUUGUGGGGUGCUCGAGUGGCGAACGGGUGAGUAACACGUGAGUAACCUGCCCUUGACUUUGGGAUAACUUCAGGAAACUGGGGCUAAUACCGGAUAGGAGCUCCUGCUGCAUGGUGGGGGUUGGAAAGUUUCGGCGGGUGGGGAUGGACUCGCGGCUUAUCAGCUUGUUGGUGGGGUAGUGGCUUACCAAGGCUUUGACGGGUAGCCGGCCUGAGAGGGUGACCGGCCACAUUGGGACUGAGAUACGGCCCAGACUCCUACGGGAGGCAGCAGUGGGGAAUAUUGCACAAUGGGCGGAAGCCUGAUGCAGCAACGCCGCGUGCGGGAUGACGGCCUUCGGGUUGUAAACCGCUUUCGCCUGUGACGAAGCGUGAGUGACGGUAACGGGUAAAGAAGCACCGGCUAACUACGUG